rnacentral:rRNA from 1 species
UGGGGAAUAUUGGACAAUGGGCGAAAGCCUGAUCCAGCCAUGCCGCGUGUGUGAAGAAGGUCUUCGGAUUGUAAAGCACUUUAAGUUGGGAGGAAGGGCAGUAAGCGAAUACCUUGCUGUUUUGACGUUACCGACAGAAUAAGCACCGGCUAACUCUGUGCCAGCAGCCGCGGUAAUACAGAGGGUGCAAGCGUUAAUCGGAAUUACUGGGCGUAAAGCGCGCGUAGGUGGUUCGUUAAGUUGAAUGUGAAAGCCCCGGGCUCAACCUGGGAACUGCAUCCAAAACUGGCGAGCUAGAGUAGGGCGGAGGGUGAUGGAAUUUCCUGUGUAGCGGGGAAAUGCGUAGAUAUAGGAAGGAACACCAGUGGCGAAGGCGACCACCUGGGCUCAUACUGACACUGAGGUGCGAAAGCGUGGGGAGCAAACAGG